GCGCACAUCACAGAAGAAGCGAACGAGACCAAAAAGACAACAUGAGAACAAGCUGACAUAAACGCUCAUAACGAAAAAUACAAAAAAAAUAGAUUAUGUAAUACAUGCAUUUCGAAUAUCGCGCAUAAACUUACAUGUGAAAUAAUCGAUUUAAUUCGAUAUAUCGCCCAGCCCUAUGGAUAGGGUCUAGUCGCGAAAGUGCAGACACGAAACAUCGGAACCAUUUUGAGAAUUGUAAACAUUCGUCAUUCAUGCUUGGCAGUGCUCGUUUUAGCUCAAUGGCAGUGGUGGGCUACAAGCUAGUUAACCGAAUAAUUAUAGAAAGACAGUAAAAUAAAGACACAUUUAAAAUCAAAUACUUUUUUUGUAUUAUGAAAGUAUCAGCAUGGAUGCAAAGCAAAAGCUUAAAACGUGCUUGCUUAUUAUAGAGAUAAUCAUUUAGAGCGAGCCAAGUUACUUCCCACGGAAUUUUCACUUUGACCGACCUUUCUUUUUCUUUCCACGACAAUCAGUUGAAGUUGUUAUGAUGUUGGCGUGUCAACGAUUUGUGAGUGUUGUGAGGAACUCAAGGACACUAUCACGACAUGUCACUACUUGGUCUCCGGUUGGAGCAGCAUUCAAUGCCCAGCAGAGGAAAGUUGAUUUGUUUCAGAAGAACGUGGGAUUAUUCGGGGUUCCAGGGUUGAGUACUCCGGCUGGUUUCGAGGUGGCUCAGCAACGAGCGCUCAGGGAAACAGAACAGUUGGUAGAAACAGCCUGCAAUAACCCACCAGGCGCCCUGACCGUGGAGACCUUCGAUCAACUUUCUGACAGCCUUUGCAAAGUGGCAGAUUUGGCAGAUUUUGUCAAAGUUGGCCAUCCAGACCCUGCCUUUCGGGAUGCUGCUGAGAAGGCAUGCAUAAACAUUGGCACAGUAGUAGAAAGGCUGAACACUAAUGUUGAACUGUGUAGGAGUCUCAAGAACCUACUAGAUAACAAAGAGGUUCUGGAUUCUUUGGACCCAGAUACAAGGAGAGUAGCAGAACUGUUCAUGUUUGAUUUUGAGAUCAGUGGCAUUCAUCUGGAUGAAUCAAAGAGAGGGAAGGCGGUGAGCCUCAAUGUCAACCUGCUGGAUCUGAACAAUGAAUUUCUAAAUGGCACCCACCUGCCCAAUAGGAUAGAGAAGAUGGCCCUGCCAGAACACAUCCGACACUGCUUCUCCAUAGACGGCAACUCCAUCCAGAUUGGAGGUCUCCAUGCAGAUUCUCCUGAUGAACUGGUGCGGGAGGCUGCUUAUAAAAUCUUUCUCUUCCCGAAUUCAAGUCUGCUGCUUUGUCUGGAUGACCUGUUGACUUGUAGGAAUGAGCUAGCCAAAUUAGUGGGCUAUGAAUCUUUUGCACACAGGGCUUUAAAUGGAACUAUGGCCAAGACUCCAGUAUGUUUUUGUUUUGUAGAGACUGUCAUGAAAUUCCUUGAAUUGCUGACAGACAAACUCUCGGACAGAACUGCCAAAGAUUUUAACCUGAUGAGGGAUAUGAAGAUGAAAAUGAACUCAAGAAGCACCGUACUCAUGCCAUGGGACCACUCCUACUUCAGCAGCGCUGUGCGGGCAGAGAGGUAUAAGAUCGAUCCCAGCCUGUACAGUCCUUACUUCUCCUUAGGGGCCUGCAUGGAGGGCCUCAACAUGCUGUUCAGCCAGCUGCUGGGAGUCUCCUUCCGGAAUGAACAGCCCAUGGCAGGAGAGGUGUGGAGUGAAGAAGUCCGCAAGUUGGCUGUUGUCCAUGAGACCGAGGGUCUUCUGGGAUACAUCUACUGUGACUUCUUCCAAAGGCCUGACAAACCACACCAGGAUUGCCACUUCACCAUCCAAGGGGGGCGUCUUAAGAAGGAUGGGGAAUACCAACAUCCUGUGGUGGUGCUGAUGCUGAGCCUGCCCCCUCCCACACGUAGCACCCCAACACUGCUCAACCCCGGCAUGAUGGAGAACCUGUUCCACGAGAUGGGCCACGCCAUGCAUUCCAUGCUGGGACGCACGCGUUACCAACAUGUCACAGGAACUAGAUGCUCCACUGACUUUGCUGAAGUCCCCUCCAUCCUCAUGGAGUUCUUUGCCACAGACUAUCGGGUGGUAAAUCAGUUUGCACGGCACUAUCAGACCGGACAGCCCCUGCCCAAGAGCAUGGUCUCUCGCCUUUGUGAAUCCAAGAGAAUCUGUGGGGCUGCCGACACUCAGCUUCAGGUUUUUUAUGCUGCUUUGGAUCAAGUGUAUCAUGGCAAGCCACAAAAUCGGUCAACGACAGACAUUCUAAAAAAGAUGCAAGAGAAAUUCUAUGGACUACCUUACGUUCCAAAUACUGCCUGGCAGCUGAGAUUCAGCCACCUCAUUGGGUACGGUGCUAAGUACUACUCAUACCUCAUGUCGCGUGCCAUAGCCUCCAUGGUGUGGAGGCAGUGCUUUCAAAAAGACCCCUUCAACAGGUUGGCCAGUUGAGAACAAGUACUCAUCUAUAACUGCGACCUGGCCAAGAUAAAGCAAAGCAGUGCGACACAAACAACACAGUUACACGUGGCAUAAACAAACGUGCAGUCAGUAACACAAUAAAAAUAAAUUAUAUACAGUGUAUGCAAAUGUAGUAAGAUGAGGGAGGUAAGGCAAUAAAUAGGCCAUGGUGGCGAAAUAAUGACAUUUUAUCAAUUAAACACUGGAGUGAUAGAUGUGCAUUAGAUGAAUGUGCAGAGAUACUGGGGUACAAUUAAUUGUACAGUUCAUUCCAGUAAUUGGCAGCAGAGAACUGGAACAGGGGAGUUGGCUUUGGGGAUGACCAGUGAAAUAUACCUGCAAGAGCGUGUGCUACGGGUGGGUGCUGCUAUGAUGACCAGUGAUCUGAGAUAAGGCAGGGCUUUACUUACUUACUUUUACUUUACUUUACUACUUUACCUGUGUUUGGCGUCUAAUAUGAAGCGAGGGCCAGCCAACAAGAGCAUACAGGUUGCAGUGGUGGGUAGUAGAGUGGGGCAACAAAAGUAUUUAGUCAGCCACCAAUUGUGCAAGUUCUCCCACUUAAAAAGAUGAGAGACCUGUCAUUUUCAUCAUAGGUACACUUAACUAUGACAGACAAAAUGAGAAGAAAAAAAAUCCAGAAAAUCACAUUGUAGGAUUUUUAAUGAAUUAAUUUGCAAAUUAUGGUGGAAAAUAAGUAUUUGGUCAACAACAAAAGUUUAUCUCAAUACUUUGUUAUAUACCCUUUGUUGGCAAUGACAGUGGUCAAACGUUUUCUGUAAGUCUUCACAAGGUUUUCACACACUGUUGCUCGUAUUUUGGCCCAUUCCUCCUUGCAGAUCUCCUCUAGAGCAGUGAUGUUUUGGGGCUGUUGCUGGGCAACAUGGACUUUCAACUCCCUCCAAAGAUUUUCUAUGGAGUUGAGAUCUGGAGACUCCAGGACCUUGAAAUGCUUCUUACGAAGCCACUCCUUCGUUGCCCCGGUGGUGUGUUUGGGAUCAUUGUCAUGCUGAAAGACCCAGCCACGUUUCAUCUUCAAUGCCCUUGCUGAUGGAAGGAGAUUUUCACUCAAAAUCUCACGAUACAUGGCCCCAUUCAUUCUUUCCUUUACAUGGAUCAGUCAUACUGGUCUCUUUGCAGAAGAACAGCCCCAAAGCAUGAUGUUUCCACCCCCAUGCUUCACAGUAGGUAUGGUGUUCUUUGGAUGCAACUCAGCAUUCUUUGUCCUCCAAACACGACGAGUUGAGUUUUUACCAAAAAGUAAUAUUUUGGUUUCAUCUGACCAUAUGACAUUCUUCCAAUCUUCUUCUGGAUCAUCCAAAUGCUCUCUAGCAAACUUCAGACGGGCCUGGACAUGUACUGGCUUAAGCAGGGGGACACGUCUGGCACUGCAGAAUUUGAGUCCCUGGCGGCGUAGUGUGUUACUGAUGGUUGGCUUUGUUACUUUGGUCCCAGCUCUCUGCAGGUCAUUCACUAGGUCCCCCCGUGUGGUUCUGGGAUUUUUGCUCACCGUUAUUGUGAUAAUUUUGACCCCACGGGGUGAGAUCUUGCGUGGAGCCCCAGAUCGAGGGAGAUUAUCAGUGGUCUUGUAUGUCUUCCAUUUCCUAAUAAUUGCUCCCACAGUUGGUUUCUUCAAACCAAGCUGCUUACCUAUUGCAGAUUCAGUCUUCCCAGCCUGGUGCAGGUCUACAAUUUUGUUUCUGGUGUACUUUCACAGCUCUUUGGUCUUGGCCAUAGUGGCGUUUGGACUGUGACUGUUUGAGGUUGUGGACAGGUGUCUUUUUAUACUGAUAACAAGUUCAAACAGGUGCCAUUAAUACAGGUAACGAGUGGAGGACAGAGGAGCCCCUUAAAGAAGAAGUUACAGGUCUGUGAGAGCCAGAAAUCUUGCUUGUUUGUAGGUGACCAAAUACUUAUUUUCCACCAUAAUUUGCAAAUAAAUUCAUUAAAAAUCAUACAAUGUGAUUUUCUGGAUUUUUUUUUCUCUCAUUUUGUUUGUCAUAGUUGAAGUGUACCUAUGAUGAAAAUCUUUUGAAGUGGGAGAACAUGCACAAUUGGUGGCUGACUAAAUAUUUUUUUGCCCCACUGUACAUGGGGCUUUGGUGACAAAAGGGAUGGCACUGUGAUAGACUACAUCCAAUUUGCUGAGUAGAGUGUCGGAGGCUAUUUUGUAAAUUACAUCGUCGAAGAUCGGUAAGAUACCCUAGUAAAACUGGCUAUGUUUGGCAGCAUGAGUGAAGGAGGCUUUGUUGCGAGAUAGGAAGCCGAUUCUAGAUUUAAUUUUGGAUUGGAUUUGCUUAAUGUGAGUCUGGAAGGAGAGUUUACAGUCUAACCAGACACCUAGGUAGUUGUCCACAUAUUCUAAGUCAGAACCGUCCAGAGUAGUGAUGCUAGACGGGCGGGCGGGCUACGGGCAGCGAUCGGUUGAAGAGCAUGCAUUUAGUUUUACUUGCAUUUAAGAGCAGUUGGAGGCCACGGAAGGAGUGUUGUAUGGCAUUGAAGCUCGUCUGGAGUUUUGUUAACACAGUGUCCAAAGAAGAGCCAGAAGUAUACAGAAUGGUGUCGUCUGCAUAGAGGUGGAUCAGAGAAUCACCAGCAGCAAGAGCGACAUCAUUGAUGUAUACAGAGAAAAGAGUCGGCCCGAGAUUUGAACCCUGUGGCACCCCCAUAGACUUCCAGAGGUCCGGACAACAGGCCAUACGAUUUGACACACUGAACUCUAUCUGAGAAGUAGUUGCGAGGCAGUCAUUUUAGAAACCAAGGCUGUUGGGUCUGCCGAUAAGAAUGCGGUGAUUGACAGAGUUGAAAGCCUUGGCCAGGUCGAUGAAGCCGGCUGCACAGUAUUGUCUUUUAUUGAUGGUGGUUAUGAUAUCAUUUAGGACCUUGAGCGUGGCUGUGGUGCGCACAUGACCAGCUAGGAAACCAGAUUGCAUAGUGGAGAAGGUACGGUGGGAUUUGAAAUGGUCAGUGAUCUGUUUAAUUUGGCUUUCGAAGAUUUUACUUUAGGUGGAUUCACUCACACUAGUCUGAACAUGACAGUGACAAAGAAAAUGACCACACACCCACAUCACAGAUGUCACUGUGACAUCAGGGGAUUUGUGUUUAGAAAUUGAGUAUUGUUUUGCCUGGGGUGUUAUGUUUUUCUCAGAGCUUUUUUUUUUCUUUCUGCUCUUUGUGUCUCUGUCAUGGGGGCUUGUAGAGUGGCAGACUACAGUCAGUGGCAGUGAAAGUACAGCUCAACCCACAGGAAAACCAAGCCAGUACAGUAUUCAGACAUAUCCUUAUCUGUCUGACAUAAACCCCAAUCCUACCUCUCUGCCUCUCUCUCUCUGCCUAUUCACCCCCUUCGUUUAAUGUCCCCACACAGGGACAUGGGAGAGCGAUAUCGAAGGGAGAUGCUAGCUCAUGGAGGUAGUAAGGAGCCCAUGCUUAUGGUGCAAGGCAUGCUUCAGAGAUCCCCUACCCUUGAAGAAUUAGUGGACGCUCUAGUAGCUGACCUGGACACAGACUCAGUAAC